rnacentral:lncRNA from 1 species
UAAGAGGGCAGUUCCCCUGCACAGGCCCUCUUGCCUGUUGCCAUGUAAGACAUGCCUUUGCUCUUCCUUCAUCUUCUGCUGUGAUCAUGAGGCCUCCUCAGCCAUGUGAGGCAAUCACUUCUGAAGAGUCCAGCCUUGGAAUGAUACUAGAAUUCUGGAAGAAGAAUCUUGUCUCAAGGCAUCUGAAAGUUUCAGUGGUGUAUUUUUCUUCUUAACUGCAGAGCUUUGACUUUCUGGAACAAAAGAGGAAGAGGAGUUGUGGCAAAGACUGGAACUAACCCUUAACCUAGAAGAGAAACUGGUCAGACAUGGAUGGAUGGAUUUGGUUCAGCCCUGUUCAGACUUGCUACUCAUUGCAUCAAUGUUCCCGUUCAAUCCGUCAGACGCACCCAUGUCCCUUCUGUAGAAAUCAGUGAAUCAUAUUGAAUCCUGAGUAAGCGAUCGUGAGCUUUACCAUUUUAAGCUCUAUCUAUUGCUUCUGUCUCUUACUGCCUUUUCUGUCUUGCCUGCCUGUUUGCUGUCACCCUCACAUCAAUGUCUGUCAAGCAUUUGAAUAGGGAAGUAGGUUGAGAAGGGGAUUUGGAAUGAGGAGUUACUUUGAAAAUAAUUGGGCUAAAAUUAAGGAGACCUUAUUUGGUUCUGGUCCUCGUUGCUUUUAUUAAUCUAAAUAAUAAGCACUCUGAAAGAAAAUGAUAUUUAUUUAGCAUGGGUACUGCAAUGGGAAUACACAUACCGUAGUAAACUAUGUGCUUAUUCAGGAGGGUAAAGAAAGGCAAUGGUUUUUAAAGAAAAAUGAAGAGGAGUACACAAUUAUUUCGAGAUAAUUAUUCCUGGUUACAAGGAUCAAUAAUAAGGAUGGCACCAGUUUGAAGUCAGAUAGGCAGUUGCUGGGCAGAUAUCCUUGCAGAAGUAUUUUUUUUUGUGCAAGGUUGCAAUGGCCUUUGUGCAAGGUUGUGGUUUUGCAGUCUUUUCUGACAAUUCCUGUUGUCAGGCAUUCGUGAAUGGGAACCCUUUCUUCAUUGCUUUCCCGAGCUCCAUCUGUCAGGAUUUUUAACACAAUUGCCUCCAUUUUAAUUCUGACAAUUUUCACGUUUUUAACUAGCUCCUUGACCUUGAAUGAAUUCCAUUAUGUUUCUGGAUAUAAUUUAUAAAAUUAUUAAAUUGCAAUAAAUAGUGUUAUUGAGUUUUUAUCAGUCUCAUACUUUAUGAUUUUUACAUAAAUUGGUUAUUUUUUGGAAAACAGACUUUUCUGAUAUAUACAAUGUACUGUCUAGGCAGAAAAUUAGAUGGGAUAGUACAAUGAUGUGACAGUGUAAUUCCAAAAGAUUAACAGCAUCAAAACAAUUGUUAGGGAAAGAGAAGGAACUAGGGGAGAGGAUACCGACCUGAGGAUAAUAGUGAAUGGCAUGGACCUCCAGACUCAUCAUGUAAAAUUGACAUUGUCAAGGGAAACGGCUUGCAACUUAGUACUCCCAACUUAGUGCUGCUUAGGUGUAGAAAUUGGUUAUUAUUUUACACUAACAAUGUUUGUUUCAAUGUUUUACUUUAGUUUAUAUCUUUUGCUUCACUUUUUAUUUAUGAAUUUUUUCUUUAUAAUAGAAAAAUGUAAAACCCUAAAGUGAACAAAAAGCAUAAAAUAAUCAUAUUAAUUGCUCAAAAUUGUUUUGACAAACUUUCAAAAUUUUAGUGUUUAUUAUUUUCAUUACUAUAUUGUAUUAUUUUUAUAUGAUGUAUAUAUUAAUUUUUCUAAAAGCAUAUUCCAAGACAAGGACUUGAAUGCAAAUAAUUUGAAAUGAUCAGGGGACAUAAGCAUGGUGGUGGGCCCAUGAAACUGGGGGUGGGUAACUGGAGUUAAUCUCAUGGAGAAACUUCCCACCUGAAGUUCAAGGCAGGUGGAUUUAAGGCUGCUGGGGUGGGUGUUAACCUUCCAGCAUUUCUGGACCAUUGUCAGUGUGUAGUGGGGUACAGCAGAUUUCCAAGAGUGGGG